rnacentral:rRNA from 1 species
GGUGAACGCUGGCGGCGUGCUUAAGACAUGCAAGUCGAACGGCAGUCUUCGGACUGUAGUGGCGCACGGGUGAGUAACGCGUAACUGACCUACCCCAAAGUCGCGGAUAACGAUUCGAAAGAAUCGCUAAUACGUGAUGUGCUGUCAGAUUGUGUUCUGCCAGUAAAGAUUGAUUGUUUUGGGAUGGGGUUGCGUUCCAUCAGCUAGUUGGUAGGGUAAAGGCCCACCAAGGCGACGCCGGAUAGCCGGCCUGAGAGGGUGGCCGGCCACAGGGGCACUGAGACACGGGUCCCACUCCUACGGGAGGCAGCAGUUAGGAAUCUUCCACAAUGGGCGAAAGCCUGAUGGAGCGACGCCGCGUGAGGGAUGAAGGUCUUCGGAUCGUAAACCUCUGAAUCAGGGACGAAAGACACUUCGGUGGGAUGACGGUACCUGAGUAAUAGCACCGGCUAACUCCGUGCCAGCCGCCGCCGUAACAC